rnacentral:rRNA from 1 species
GACGUAGGGGGCAAGCGUUGUCCGGAAUCAUUGGGCGUAAAGAGCGUGUAGGCGGCCAGAAAAGUCCGCUGUGAAAACUCGAGGCUCAACUUCGAGCUGUCGGUGGAAACUUUCUGGCUAGAGUCCGGAAGAGGAGAAUGGAAUUCCUGGUGUAGCGGUGAAAUGCGCAGAUAUCAGGAAGAACACCCGUGGCGAAGGCGGUUCUCUGGGACGGUACUGACGCUGAGACGCGAAAGCGUGGGGAGCAAACAGG